GUGAGGAAUCUUCCACAAUGGGCGAAAGCCUGAUGGAGCAACGCCGCGUGAAGGAUGAAGGUCUUCGGAUUGUAAACUUCUUUUAUGAGUGAAGAAUAUGACGGUAACUCAUGAAUAAGCACCGGCUAACUACGUGCCAGCAGCCGCGGUCAUACGUAGGGUGCAAGCAUUAUCCGGAGUGACUGGGCGUAAAGAGUUGCGUAGGCGGUUAUGUAAGCGAAUAGUGAAACCUGGUGGCUCAACCACACAGACUAUUAUUCGAACUGCAUAACUCGAGAAUGGUAGAGGUAACUGGAAUUUCUUGUGUAGGAGUGAAAUCCGUAGAUAUAAGAAGGAACACCAAUGGCGUAGGCAGGUUACUGGGCAAUUUCUGACGCUAAGGCACGAAAGCGUGGGGAGCGAACCGGAUUAGAUACUCUAGUAGUCC
rnacentral:rRNA from 1 species